rnacentral:rRNA from 1 species
UACGUAGGGACCAAGCGUUGUUCGGAUUUACUGGGCGUAAAGGGCGCGUAGGCGGCGUGACAAGUCACUUGUGAAAUCUCCGGGCUUAACUCGGAACGGUCAAGUGAUACUGUUGUGCUAGAGUACAGAAGGGGCAAUCGGAAUUCUUGGUGUAGCGGUGAAAUGCGUAGAUAUCAAGAGGAACACCAGAGGCGAAGGCGGAUUGCUGGGCUGAUACUGACGCUGAGAAGCGAAAGCGUGGGGAGCGAACAGG